AUUGAACGCUGGCGGCAGGCCUAACACAUGCAAGUCGAGCGGAUGAAGGGAGCUUGCUCCUGGAUUCAGCGGCAGACGGGUGAGUAAUGCCUAGGAAUCUGCCUGGUAGUGGGGGACAACGUCCGGAAACGGGCGCUAAUACCGCAUACGUCCUGAGGGAGAAAGUGGGGGAUCUUCGGACCUCACGCUAUCAGAUGAGCCUAGGUCGGAUUAGCUAGUUGGUGGGGUAAAGGCCUACCAAGGCGACGAUCCGUAACUGGUCUGAGAGGAUGAUCAGUCACACUGGAACUGAGACACGGUCCAGACUCCUACGGGAGGCAGCAGUGGGGAAUAUUGGACAAUGGGCGAAAGCCUGAUCCAGCCAUGCCGCGUGUGUGAAGAAGGUCUUCGGAUUGUAAAGCACUUUAAGUUGGGAGGAAGGGCAGUAAGUUAAUACCUUGCUGUUUUGACGUUACCAACAGAAUAAGCACCGGCUAACUUCGUG
rnacentral:rRNA from 1 species